rnacentral:rRNA from 1 species
CUUGAAACACGGACCAAGGAGUUUAUCGUAUGUGCGAGUCAUUAAGUGAUCAAAACUUAUUGGCGUAAUGAAAGUAAAGUAUUCUUUAUGAAUAUGAUAUAUGAUUGUUUUUCGUUUACGAAAAGCAAGUAGUAUAGUCCCAUCUAAUUUGCUUGCAAAUGGGUGGAGAUAGAGCAUAUGCAAUGAGACCCGAAAGAUGGUGAACUAUGCCUGAGCAGGAUGAAGUCAGAGGAAACUCUGAUGGAAGUCCGAAGCGGUUCUGACGUGCAAAUCGAUCGUCUGACUUGGGUAUAGGGGCGAAAGACUAAUCGAACCAUCUAGUAUCUGGUUCCCUUCCGA